rnacentral:rRNA from 1 species
UCCAGACUCCUACGGGAGGCAGCAGUGGGGGAUAUUGCACAAUGGGGGAAACCCUGAUGCAGCGACGCCGCGUGAGUGAAGAAGUAUUUCGGUAUGUAAAGCUCUAUCAGCAGGGAAGAAAAAAGACGGUACCUGACUAAGAAGCCCCGGCUAACUACGUGCCAGCAGCCGCGGUAAUACGUAGGGGGCAAGCGUUAUCCGGAUUUACUGGGUGUAAAGGGAGCGUAGACGGCAAUACAAGUCGGAAGUGAAAUACCCGGGCUCAACCUGGGAACUGCUUUGGAAACUGUAUGGCUGGAGUGCUGGAGAGGUAAGCGGAAUUCCUAGUGUAGCGGUGAAAUGCGUAGAUAUUAGGAGGAACACCAGUGGCGAAGGCGGCUUACUGGACAGUAACUGACGUUGAGGCUCGAAAGCGUGGGGAGCAAACAGGAUUAGAUACCCUGGUA